UCUCUGACCCCGCUUCUGGUCUGAGCCCAUCAGAAUAAAUCAUCCCCUAAGGCUCCACUUAGUGAAGGGAGUUCACACAGGAGAAACUUGCCAACGAACUUCUCGAGAGAUCCCUGAAGCUUCUUGUGGCUUCUUGCCGCUCCUGUGGAUUAAGGCCGAUUGCUUUGCCUGAGAAUGGAAGAUGCUGGCAACUUUAAGAAGGGUACUUAACCUGGACAGAAGGACAGAGGACAAGAGGCAGAAGAGGAUGGGGAACAAGAAGAUGGCCACACAGAGAAGAACUGCAAAAAAGGCCAUACUGCCAGCUGCCACAGUAGCACUUUAACUCCCUGGCACUGCUGUCACCAGGAUGAACCCUGAGCCUAGAGAGGACGACAGAGUAAGAGAUAGAUGUCCCUUUUACUCCACAGUCUUUCAUUCUUGGCACCAUCACUAGUUAAGGAUCUCUAUACCAGCUACUGCAGAAAAGCUUCUCUGAUGAGGAUUAAGAGGUUAAAAGCUCCUCCUGUUUUCCCACUGAGAGCUUCACAGGCCAUUUGAGCCUAUAGCAGCAAGGACAAAACAGAAGACCCUGGAUCUGUUUCCUGCUCUCAGGAUGUUCAUGGUCUUCCUAUCAAGUGUUCCUCCUGCAAACACUGACCUCUAGAACCCA